AAAGAAAGAAAGAAAGAAAGAAAGAAAGAAAGAAAGAAAGAAAGAAAGCAAACAAAGGAAGGAAGGAAGGAAGGAAGGAAGGAAGGAAGGAAGGAAGGAAGGAAGGAAGGAAGGAAAGAGGGCAUUGCUUCAAAUCUGUUGGAGAUAUGUAAUUUAAAAAUCUCAUUGGAUAUUUCUAAUACACUACUAAUGAUACCUUAGAAACUGGCUCAAUGAUAGAGGGAUUUCUAAGCAGUGUAAUUUCUACAUUCGAUGAACAGCUCCAUGAAUAUGCAAUAUAAAGAAUGAUUGCAGCUAACAUUGUUUCUAAUAAGGCUUAUUCCAAUCUCUGGGUUGCUUUUAAUAAUCACAUAGUCAUUCAGAAGAUUUGUUCUCCUGCUCCAUUUUGAAGGCUGUUCUGUGCUUCAUAAAAUCAGUUCAUAUAAAACCACUGAGUUGAUUUUUCAUUUUGCCUUUUCUGGAUACCUAGGGAUACAAUUGCAACUUGUCAUUUAUUCUAUAUGCAUUUUUGAAAGAUAACAUUUUUUUGUAUUUUGGGGCUGUUGUAAAUAAAAUGCUGUAAUUACAUAGCUUAUAAACAACAAACAACUGUCACAUCCCAACCUAGAGGCUGAGAAGGCCAAGUAGAGCCAGCAGAGGUGGGUUCUAGUGUGAGCACACACUUCCUGCCUCACAGAUGAUGGUCUUGCUGUGCUUUCUCCUGUCAGAUGGGCAAAGGAUGUUCUUGGAGGCCUCUUUUAUGAGCACAAUAAGCCAAACCUGAGAGUCAGAGCCCUCAAUGUGAGCCCUUCACACAGGCUCCGCCACCACACACCCCCGUCUUGUGACUAAAUCUCAACAUAAUGGACUGGGAGAGUGGAUGGCACAAGGGUUCUGACUGUCACACCUGGGUGCGUGUCAUUCAAUAAGAGCAAUGAUGACUUGUUCCACCUAGAAAGUGCUCUGAAUAGAGAGGCAUCUCAAUGCAAUUUCUUCACCAUUACUCACUCAUCUUUUUGUGAUAUCACUUUCCUUUAUUAUCCAGAAACAUAAGUGGAGGAGGGAGAGCUACAGGGCAUGGAUCCACAGAAGAGGAAGUAGGAUAUCACUGUGAUAUAUUCUUUGUUUGUUUGUUUGUUUGUUUGUUUGUUUGUUUGAACUGAGUGUCAGAGAUCCUAGCAGGGUUCUACUCUAUGGACUGGAUGCCUCUUCUGUGAGGUCUUGAAUUCAUGGAAGUGAUUAAAAUCUGAUUUGGAUAGAUUAGCAUAUCUCAGAGAUUUCUAAUUAACUGAGAUUCUCUUCCCCUUGUCUUUUUUUCUCCCUCUUUCUUUUCAUUUUCAUUUUCAUUUUUUUUCUUGCCUUGAUUUUUGUUUUUAUUAAGUCAUUUUUUUUCUUUGUUAGGCAGAAUCUCACAUCAUAACCCCAAAUGACCUGUUACUCACCAUGUGGCCCAGCUGUCUUCAAACUCACCAGCCUCCUGCCUUAGCCUUCUAAAUGCUUGGAUUACAGGCAUGACCCACCAUAACUGGCUUUGUUUUAGUUUCAGAGAAGAUGAAACUGAUGUGCGUCAAAAAGCUGGUAGUCUGUCAAGGAAAUGAGCUGAACAUGUCUGUGUACAGCUUUUGUGCCAUCCCUGGAUGAGCGAGCUGUCUGCCUCUAUGUUCUCCACAAAAUGGAAUAUAGCUGUACACCCAAGCCAAGUUAUGGAGGCUGGGAAGACCUAGAAUGUGGCAUCACUAUUUGCUGAAAUUUUUAAUAUAAUGCCUCUUAGCCUGGUUUGGAGAAAACGUCACAGAGAGGCACCAUUUGUUGUGGUUUUACAUGAAAAUUUUCUGACCCUGAACCUGGUUUGAUGGAAAUCAUUUGCUGAGGUUAUUUAGAAAAUUGUUACCUCAAAAAUGACCUAGGGGUCCUUAGAAUAAUAACACACAGAAGAAUAGCCUCAUUUUUCUGUUGGGCCCAGGAAACCAUGCCGAUUACCGACCGAGCUCUCAAUGGAAAAAUGCAGUCGGCGUGAACCACGCACGAACACAGCAGAGAAAGAAGAAAACACACACCACGAGGAACCCUAAUAGGACAAUACAUUAUAAGCCUCAUGGUACAUCCACUUGGUGUGCUGGGAGAGUCAGGAUGAGGACCUGAGAAGAACAGCAGCUUGAACCUGACUUCAUUUAACAGCCCACUGCCCUCUUGCCAAGAACCCAUCACAGACCUUCCCAGAAGAGAGGGAUGAGCCUCACCUAUGAAUAAGUCCUCAGAAACUCAAAUUUGAUUCUAAUGGAUUGUUUUCUCAGAAAGACUGAGCAUGUCCCCCCACAUCUCUGUCAUUUCCCACAGUAGUAACCUCUGCAGAUGCCACAUAGAAAACAAAACAAAACAAAAAAACAUGAGGUUGGUGGGCAGAUAGGCAGGGUAUAAACAAACAGCCUUGUAACCCAGAAGCUGUGUGAUAUACAGUAAACUUCACAACACUGAAAAGAUGUCCUAUCUGUUAAAAUGGGGUAAUAACAACUACCCGAAUGUUUAGGAAUAGAACUUCAAUAAAUGAUACAUUUUAUAGUACAGCAGACCAUCCUGUAAAGGUUUCAUCCUUCACUGUGGUGAUAAAUAUCCCAAACCACAUUGAAAAGCAUUGCAUCUACAUUUAUCUACACUGUAACUGUACUGUAAAUCAUGGGGGAGGGGAGAAUCAUAAAAACACCACCUGUCACCGUGUCAUUAAAGCAAGUUGGAAGUGAUACUUACAGAAACACAGCAAGAGCACCCCCAGUCACACAGUUCAAUCUCUUAGCAAGCGUUUUCUUUCUAGCCCAGUGGUUCUCAGUUUGGAAUUUUUGGCACUGCCUAGAGAUAGUUUUGUUGUUAAAACUGAGAAAAGAGCCGGGCGUGGUGGCACACGCCUUUAAUCCCAGCACUCAGGAGGCAGAGGCAGG
rnacentral:lncRNA from 1 species